GGUGAACGCUGGCGGCGUGCCUAAGACAUGCAAGUCGUGCGGGCCGCGGGGUUUUACUCCGUGGUCAGCGGCGGACGGGUGAGUAACGCGUGGGUGACCUACCCGGAAGAGGGGGACAAC
rnacentral:rRNA from 1 species